UCCGUAGGUGGCAAGCGUUGUCCGGAUUCAUUGGGCGUAAAGGGUGCGUAGGCGGCGCGGUAAGUCGGGUGUGAAAUUUCGGAGCUUAACUCCGAAACUGCAUUUGAUACUGCGGUGCUUGAGGACUGGAGAGGAGACUGGAAUUUACGGUGUAGCAGUGAAAUGCGUAGAGAUCGUAAGGAAGACCAGUGGCGAAGGCGGGUCUCUGGACAGUUCCUGACGCUGAGGCACGAAGGCCAGGGGAGCAAACGGG
rnacentral:rRNA from 1 species